rnacentral:rRNA from 1 species
UGGGAAUUUGGACAAUGGGCGAAAGCCUGAUCCAGCAAUGCCGCGUGUGUGAAGAAGGCCUUCGGGUUGUAAAGCACUUUUGUCCGGAAAGAAAUCCUUGGCUCUAAUACAGUCGGGGGAUGACGGUACCGGAAGAAUAAGCACCGGCUAACUACGUGCCAGCAGCCGCGGUAGUACGUAGGGUGCAAGCGUUAAUCGGAAUUACUGGGCGUAAAGCGUGCGCAGGCGGUUUGCUAAGACCGAUGUGAAAUCCCCGGGCUCAACCUGGGAACUGCAUUGGUGACUGGCAGGGCUAGAGUAUGGCAGAGGGGGGUAGAAUUCCACGUGUAGCAGUGAAAUGCGUAGAGAUGUGGAGGAAUACCGAUGGCGAAAGGCAGCCCCCUGGGCCAAUACUGACGCUCAUGCACGAAAAGCGUGGGGGAGCAAAACAGGAUUAGAUACCCUGGUAGUCCACGCCCUAAAACGAUGUCAACUAGUUGUUGGGGAUUCAUUUCCUUAGUAACGUAGCUAACGCGUGAAGUUGACCGCCUGGGGAGUACGGUCGCAAGAUUAAAACUUAAAUGAAUUGACGGGGUCAUAGCUGUUUCCU